CUGUCUUUGUGUGUAGUAACGCACCCACGCAGAUGUGUGUUUUGUUAUUGUUGUAAACAACACCUGUUUGCUGAAGACAGUUCAGAAAGUCAGGAAAGGGGAUGAUCCUUGUGGAAAAAGGGAGUUGCACUGGAGUUUUAUGAUGAAAGGGAAGGCACAUUUCCCACAGCCUUUUUUUUUUGACUUACUAGAGGAUUUCUAAUGUGCAUAGCCAGACUGGUUGUGGCAUCUUUAUGGCUACCCUGUGUUCGCAAAGCCAUAGCCAGGGCUGACAGGCAGUGGUUGGAGCUGGUCUGCAGCCUGCUCUGCAUCUUCAGAGCUUGGCCUGUGUUGUUUACUAACUGAGCUCCUUGCUUUCUUCUGUUCUGCCUGCUCUGAGUGGCCAAUGGGACAACACCUGUGGAAGUAAUGUGGAUAACUUUGCCCCAGAAAUGCACCAGAUAAUGCUUACUGUGACAGCUGGUAAUUCAUUCCAUCUUCUGACAUCCUUUUUGAUAUAUAUUUUUUUUCUUCUGGAUGUUUGGCUUUAUUUGAACGUAUCUGUAAGUGUCCUUCUGUUUGCAGACAGUGUAAAAAGUGAACAGUCUUUCAUGAUAGCUUAUCAAAAAAUGACCCACACGAAUGCUAUCCUGUCAAGAUCUGUGGUUCACAGCACUGUAUUCAUUUCGUAAGUUCUUUCAGUGAAGUUCAUAGUUUUGUAAUCCCAUCUGUGUCAGAAUUCUAACGGAAUCAUCAAAUCACAGUUCCUUCCUGACUAAAGUUAAAAUAUUAACUUGCAGUUUUAGAGAUAAUCUCUGGUAACCCAUCUGACUCAGUGCGGCUGCUUGCCAGUACCAGAAGAUGUUUCUCCACGCCUGGGUCUAUGUUUCAGUGUGUUCUUUUUGUAUGAGCCCCCCUGUGUGCUGGGCUUAUCCUGUUCCCAGUUAUGAAGCAAAUUGAAUUUGGGUUGUUUUUUGGUUUUUACCUGUAGUCCUGGCAUGAUGAAUCAGUGCGGAGGGCAGACUGGUAGGUGUUAGAAAAAUGCCAGUUUAAUUGGAUUGUAACACAGUAUUUGGGCUUUACUGUAUAGAGGAAUGAGGCAUUUUCUCUGGAGGAGCAACAAUGAAGUUUAUGAAGUCCUUCAAAUCUGGGAAGUGGUUCCUGUGGUUGGAGAACGUAGGAAAAGCCUUGGUUCAUGGUAGAAACCAGCCAGAGUCCGUGUAUCUGAUCUGAGCUGUGAUGAUAACUAGCAAGGAGCUGGCAGAUAUUGAUGGCAUAUGGUUAUUACUUCAUGCUGUGGAAUAACUGAGUAGUGGAAAAUUCAUUGUUGGGGUUGCUGUCAUGUGCCCCCUCCCAUUACAUAAGGCAUCCAUUGCCUCACUGUCUCAUUUUGAGUGAGUGAUGGAGUGCUUUUUGGUGCUCCGGUGAUGUUCAGAACUCAUAAAUCUGAUCUUCCUAUUGAAUGUUAGAAGUUGUGGAAGUCCUUUGAUAAAGGGAAAUGUUAUUGAUAGCUGUAUCCUCUGAUAACUGCCUCCAAUAACUGGUAGGGAGUUCUUGCAAGUUGUGCAGACUGCUGCUGUGGUCAGCUGGGCUCCAGUGCCACUGCUUUGCUCUGUUACAGUCUGCUGUGCUAUGGGGGCAGGUUGGUGCCUAGAAGGAUUUGCUCUCAGGGCUGAAUAAUGACACUUCGGUGACUUUCUUCAAAGGGCAACCUCUCAUUCAAAUAUGGUGAGCAGUUGUCUUCGUCCUCUUUCUCACACACGGUGCUUUGCUGUAGUCUCAGGAACCAAAACAGAGCCUGCUUUAUAGGGCAGGCUGGAAAUAUCCUCCCAGCCCUUGCUGGGUGUCUCCUACAAGUCAGGAAAAAAGCCUGUUGAAUGUUUUCAACACCAAUAUGCACUUCCUACUUGAACACUCGAUACACACAUCAUGUGUCACAUGCUGAUUCAUGGCAGAAAUAAAUACAUGAUUGCAUUUUAAAGAGUUGGGGGUUUUUUUGUUUUGUUUUGUUUUUCCCCAAGAAGACAUGUAAAAGCAUAAACUUUUUCUUUCUUUUGUGCCUGCCCACCCCUGGCACUGAUUCUCCUUAUCCUUCUCAGAAAUGCAAGGAAAGCCAAAUCAGGCUCUGUUUAAACUCUCUAAUGAGUUUUACAGCAGUCUGAAAUGACUUUCUCUUUUUGCAUGGUACUGUGAUGCUACUGAUGCUUCUGUAAGGUUUCCAUGCAUUUUUGCAAGAUGAGCAGGGUCUGAUCUUGUACCAUACGAAGGUACAAAGAAGGAAUCCUCUGAUUAGCAAAGCUUCGCAUAACAAUGUCAUGAGAAGAAGAAAAUCCUAAACUUUUUGCUGCUUGCUCCAAGAAUAAGGAGCCAGGGGAAGUUGAUGCACAGCCUGGUGUAACACAUUCUAGCAUUACAGAUGCUUAGACUACAUGCUUUUUAGUAAUGUCUGAAAAGCAGAUUGUCACCCAGUGUGAUUGUCAAUAUCGUGUUGGCAAUAGUUGUGCGUUCAGGAGAGACAUUGCUUAUUUAUUCCAGGUUUGUAUCAGCCUGGGUGCUCAGUGGUUUCCCACCUAUCAAACACACCAAAUGGAAUGAUCCGUGCUAUAUUUAUACUCAAAAGUUGGAAUUAGUAAUUUUUUCAGUCCUCCUCAAUGAUAAUUAAUUCAUAAUUUACAUACAAUUACAAUAUUGCCGGCUCUAUGCUUCCAUUACUACGCCUGCUCAGGGGAGGGGUCUUCAUGAGGGCAGGGGUCUUCUUGACCUAUGAGUCUGAACUUUAGUUAUACAAUGAAGGUAGUGCAGCAAGGACCUUGAGUUUUAUCGCCUAGUUGGCAGCAUCCUCAAAGCAUCCCGAUUAACGUCCUCCUCAAGGCCCACUGGCUCUGGUUAAAGGAUACUAAGUGUUUAUUCUUCUGAUACCUAACACAAUGUUAGCUCAGUGUUUAUUCUGAUACCUCACACAGCGUUAGCUCAGUCUCUGGGGCUGGUCUUAAACAGUAAUACAUGGAAAUAGCUCUUGCAGGGGGGAAAGUGACAGCUUCUCUGGCUCCUGUGCCAAAAUCUGAUCUUUUUUCUUUUAAACUUUUUAAAAAUAGAUGUCAUGCUCAGAGAAAACCAGAGCUGCUGAGAAGUUGUCUUUCGGGGAAGGUAAAUGUUUAAGUAUUUUAAAGAAGCAAAUUAAAAUCUCUCUUCUUGUUAUUUAUGUUGUCAAUAAUUAAUGGACAUUGGGAGAAGGCACACUGAAUAACAUUGGAUUUUUAAAGUGUAGUAAGAAAACUAGACAGUUUUCUUCAUUAACAAUUAUGUAGAUUGUAUUUGCUGUGGUUCUUUGCCUCCUCUUCUGUCUAACUGUGCUGAGCACAUAUGAAAAAUACUUAAUGGGAUCCUUUCUGCCUGCAUCCCCGAGCUGUGAUACAAAUAAGGAAGUCAGUAGAGGAGUUAGAGCUGCUUGUUUGCCUGAAACUCGGGUUUGGAGUUGUUUCACCUCCUGCACAGCAGAGGAUCAUUAAAUUGUCCCAGCCCUCUCCACCCACCAAAAACAAUCACUUAUGCAAAGCCGGGCAGUUUCCUAUGGGAUCUCCUGUGGGAAUUUGAGAACAGUCUCGCUGAGUAUUUUACUGUCUGCUUUGUGUUGCUGGC
ensembl:lncRNA